rnacentral:rRNA from 1 species
UACGGAGGAUGCAAGCGUUAUUCGGAAUGAUUGGGCGUAAAGCGUCUGUAGGUGGUUUAUUAAGUCUACUGUUAAAGAUCAGGGCUUAACCCUGAGCCGGCAGUGGAAACUAAUAAGCUUGAGUACGGUAGGGGCAGAGGGAAUUCCCGGUGUAGCGGUGAAAUGCGUAGAUAUUGCUCGGAAGGCCAGAGCCGAAGGGGCCCUACUGGUGCGCAACUGACACUGAGGCACGAAAGCGUGGGGAGCAAACAGG